rnacentral:lncRNA from 1 species
GUCACAUGACAGCACACACGUACACCUACACGUGGAAUAGUGGACAUGUACUUGCUUUAGUAACCCACCCAACUAAAACACCCCUAACAAGACAAUGAUAUUCUUUGUCCAAAUGACGUAUCAAUAACAGAAGUCACUAAUGUCAACCAACGUUUAUAAACAUCCCUCGACCAACUAGAUUCUCUAAUACUUUGCGAUGUGUCCACCCUAAUUACAAUCUACUUAUUCUCACACCAGAAUCGUGACUUGUUCAUGCGACGAUACCUAACUCCACAACUUCAUAUUACUAUAGCAUCAAGUCUCCAAUACUAGAAGUAUAAUACCAACAUACUUAUGUACAAUAUAUUUUGGUUGAUUGGUGUACACCUUUGACCAUGUACAAUGUUUGUACUUUGUAAAUGACCCAAAAGGCUUUUCUUUCUUUUUCCUUUAGUAGAUUUGUAAUGUUGUUCAAAACCCUUCCACAGGACCACAACUACGCCACGUUUAAUAAAAUACAUUUAUGAAAGACAAAGUCAUACUAGUAAAGAUGGGGCCCACAAAAUGAUAAUUUUUAAGAGUUAAAUGCCAUUUUAGUCCUUGUGGUUUGAUUAUGUUGUCAGUUUAGUCCAAAGGUUUGAAACGUUGUCAUUUUAGUUCAAAUAGUUUCAAACAUUGCCAUUUUAGUCUACUGGAUUAACUCCAUUCAUUUUUCUGUU